rnacentral:tRNA from 15 species
GGGUGAUUAGCUCAGCUGGGAGAUCGCCUCCCUUACAAGGAGGGGGUCGGCGGUUCGAUCCCGUCAUCACCCACCA